AUUGAACGCUGGCGGCAGGCCAAACACAUGCAAGUCGAGCGGAUGAAGGGAGCUUGCUCCUGGAUUCAGCGGCGGACGGGUGAGUAAUGCCUAGGAAUCUGCCUGGUAGUGGGGGAUAACGUCCGGAAACGGGCGCUAAUACCGCAUACGUCCUGAGGGAGAAAGUGGGGGAUCUUCGGACCUCACGCUAUCAGAUGAGCCUAGGUCGGAUUAGCUAGUUGGUGGGGUAAAGGCCUACCAAGGCGACGAUCCGUAACUGGUCUGAGAGGAUGAUCAGUCACACUGGAACUGAGACACGGUCCAGUCUCCUACGGGAGGCAGCAGUGGGGAAUAUUGGACAAUGGGCGAAAGCCUGAUCCAGCCAUGCCGCGUGUGUGAAGAAGGUCUUCGGAUUGUAAAGCACUUUAAGUUGGGAGGAAGGGCAGUAAGUUAAUACCUUGCUGUCUUGACGUUACCAACAGAAUAAGCACCGGCUAACUUCGUG
rnacentral:rRNA from 1 species